AUCAUCGGCCCACUUUAUAGAACCUACAAAUUGAUUUGUUAUGAAAAGAAGAGAUGUGAGACAACUAUCCUACAGAGACCAAAUGAAGUUGAUGUAAAAUAGGUUACUGUAUGGACUUCAACAAUGAGAAAAUCAACCAACAUUAAAAUUUUGCAAUAUUCUGAAUUAGAAUGACUUUGUUAAUACCUGUAACCUUAAACAUCUGAUAUUUUUAUUAUCUAGAGCUCUGUAAAAAAAUAUAAAAAAAAAAUAUAAAAAAUGAAAAUACCAAAAAAUGAUAUGAAAACAAAACUGUUUGUAAACAGAGUUCUAGAUAAUAAACAUUGAGGGUGGUGUAAAAGGUGGGAUUAUUGUAAUAUUUUUUAUGACCCCUGCCUUAAAGUCUUCUAACCCCCAAGGGUGACUGGGGAAUAGAAGUAUGGUCACCAUUGGUCUUCCUCCGACCGGCAGUAAAACCCUUGCUAAAGUGGGGCAUCCGUUUGGCUGUGCGAAUAUUCAAAUUUACAGCCACAUCCGGUAAGAAUGAGGACUUUAAAUCCUAUGCCUCAUGUAAAGAGAGUGCCUCGCUCUUUGCACGUUAAGAACCCUUGCAACAACUCUUUGAGGGGUCCGUAGGUGACCUGUUGCAAAUCUAAAUUUCUGUCCCUAUCCAAUAUAACUUCAUUUCCCGUGGCAGUCUAAAUUUCUCUGACCUUAAUCCAGGAAGCCCCUAUCACGGAACCUACCUAUUGUACUUAUUGUUAACUUGUUCUUGUCCUGAAUAUGUAUGAAAUAUUUGCCACUGGAUGUUAAGCAACCAACAAUCAACAACAAUCAAUUAAAGUCUUCUAAAGUUAUCAUGUUUAAAACAAACAAAAAUUGGAAUGGCAAUUUAGAAAGUAUAGUUUCUAUGUGUAGGGACAGUGCCACUCUGCAUGUUAAAGAACCCUUGCCACAAGUCUUUGAGGGGUCAGUAGGUGGCCUGUUGCAAGGCUUAAUUUCUGCCCAACAUAUCGUCCUCUCAGUUGGGAGUCAAAAUUUCCCUUACCUUCAUCAUCGGCCCACUUUAUAGAACCUACAAAUUGAUUUGUUAUGAAAAGAAGAGAUGUGAGACAUUACUAUCCUACAGAGACCAAAUGAUGUUGAUGUAAAAUAGGUUACUGUAUGGACUUCAACAAUGAGAAAAUCAACCAACAUUAAAAUUUUGCAAUAUUCUGAAUUAGAAUGACUUUGUUAAUACCUGUAACCUUAAACAUCUGAUAUUUUUAUUAUCUAGAGCUCUGUAAAAAAAUAUAAAAAAAAAAUAUAAAAAAUGAAAAUACCAAAAAAUGAUAUGAAAACAAAACUGUUUGUAAAGAGAGUUCUAGAUAAUAAACAUUGAGGGUGGUGUAAAAGGUGGGAUUAUUGUAAUAUUUUUUAUGACCCCCGCCUUAAAGUCUUCUAACCCCCAAAGGUGACUGGGGAAUAGAAGUAUGGUCACCAUUGGUCUUCCUCCGACCGGCAGUAAAACCCUUGCUAAAGUGGGGCGUCCGUUUGGCUGUGCGGGAUAUUCAAAUUUACAGCCACGUCUGGUAAGAAUGAGGACUUUUAAUCCUAUGCCUCAUGUAAAGAGAGUGCCUCGCUCUUUGCACGUUAAGAACCCUUGCAACAACUCUUUGAGGGGUCCGUAGGUGACCUGUUGCAAAUCUAAAUUUCUGUCCCUAUCCAAUAUAACUUCAUUUCCCGUGGCAGUCUAAAUUUCUCUGACCUUAAUCCAGGAAGCCCCUAUUACGGAACCUACCUAUUGUACUUAUUGUUAACUUGUUCUUGUCCUGAAUAUGUAUGAAAUAUUUGCCACUGGAUGUUAAGCAACCAACAAUCAACAACAAUCAAUUAAAGUCUUCUAAAGUUAUCAUGUUUAAAACAAACAAAAAUUGGAAUGGCAAUUUAGAAAGUAUAGUUUCUAUGUGUAGGGACAGUGCCACUCUGCAUGUUAAAGAACCCUUGCCACAAGUCUUUGAGGGGUCAGUAGGUGGCCUGUUGCAAGGCUUAAUUUCUGGCCAACAUAUCCUCCUCUCAGUUGGCAGUCAAAAUUUCCCUUACCUUCGUCAUCGGCCCACUUUAUAGAACCUACAAAUUGAUUUGUUAUGAAAUGAAGAGAUGCCAGACAACUAUCCUACAGAGACCAAAUGAUGUUGAUGUAAAAUAGGUUACUGUAUGGACUUCAACAAUGAGAAAAUCAACCAACAUUAAAAUUUUGCAAUAUUCUGAAUUAGAAUGACUUUGUUAAUACCUGUAACCUUAAACAUCUGAUAUUUUUAUUAUCUAGAGCUCUGUAAAAAAAUAUAAAAAAAAAAUAUAAAAAAUGAAAAUACCAAAAAAUGAUAUGAAAACAAAACUGUUUGUAAACAGAGUUCUAGAUAAUAAACAUUGAGGGUGGUGUAAAAGGUGGGAUUAUUGUAAUAUUUUUUAUGACCCCCGCCUUAAAGUCUUCUAAAGUUAUCAUUUUUAAAAAAAAAAAAAAAAUUGGAAUGGCAAUUUAAAAAGUAUAUAGUUCCUAUGUGUAGGGACAGUGCCACUCUGCAUGUUAAAGAACCCUUGCCACAAGUCUUUGAGGGGUCAGUAGGUGGCCUGUUGCAAGGCUUAAUUUCUGGCCAACAUAUCCUCCUCUCAGUUGGCAGUCAAAAUUUCCCUUACCUUCGUCAUUGGCCCACUUUAUAGAACCUACAAAUUGAUUUGUUAUGAAAUGAAGAGAUGUGAGACAACUAUCCUACAGAGACCAAAUGAUGUUGAUGUAAAAUAGGUUACUGUAUGGACUUCAACAAUGAGAAAAUCAACCAACAUUAAAAUUUUGCAAUAUUCUGAAUUAGAAUGACUUUGUUAAUACCUGUAACCUUAAACAUCUGAUAUUUUUAUUAUCCAGAGCUCUGUAAAAAAAUAUAAAAAAAAAAAUAUAAAAAAUGAAAAUACAAAAUAAUGAUAUGAAAACAAAACUGUUUGUUAACAGAGUUCUAGAUAAUAAACAUUGAGGGUGGUGUAAAAGGUGGGAUUAUUGUAAUAUUUUUUAUGACCCCCGCCUUAAAGUCUUCUAAAGUUAUCAUUUUUAAAACAAACAAAAAAAAUUGGAAUGGCAAUUUAAAAAGUAUAUAGUUCCUAUGUGUAGGGACAGUGCCACUCUGCAUGUUAAAGAACCCUUGCCACAAGUCUUUGAGGGGUCAGUAGGUGGCCUGUUGCAAGGCUUAAUUUCUGGCCAACAUAUCCUCCUCUCAGUUGGCAGUCAAAAUUUCCCUUACCUUCGUCAUCGGCCCACUUUAUAGAACCUACAAAUUGAUUUGUUAUGAAAUGAAGAGAUGCGAGACAUUACUAUCCUACAGAGACCAAAUGAUGUUGAUGUAAAAUAGGUUAUUGUAUGGACUUCAACAAUGAGAAAAUCAAUCAACAUUAAAAUUUUGCAAAUAUUCUGAAUUAGAAUGACUUUGUUAAUACCUGUAACCUUAAACAUCUGAUAUUUUUAUUAUCUAGAGCUCUGUAAAAAAAUAUAAAAAAAAAAAAUAUAAAAAAUGAAAAUACCAAAAAAUGAUAUGAAAACAAAACUGUUUGUAAACAGAGUUCUAGAUAAUAAACAUUGAGGGUGGUGUAAAAGGUGGGAUUAUUGUAUUAUUUUUUAUGACCCCCACCUUAAAGUCUUCUAAAGAUAUCACAUAUCCUCCUCUCAGUUGGCAGAGACCAAAUGAUGUUGAUGUAAAAUAGGUUACUGUAUGGACCAACAAAUUGAGAAAAUCAACUAACAUUUAAAUUUUGCAAUAUUCUGAUUUAGAAUGACUUUGCCUCUAACCUUUAAAAUCUGAUAUUUUUAUUAUUUAGAGCUCUGUAAAAAAAAGAAAAUACCAAAAAAUAAUAUGAAAACAAAAUUGUUUGUAAACAGAGUUCUAGAUAAUAAACAUUGAGGAUGUUGUAAAAAGUAGGCAUAUUUAAAAUUUUGUUUAUUAUUAUGAAUAGUGCACUGUAUAAUUUGUAAAAAUGUUUAUUGUGAAGUCUUCGAAAAUUGUGAAACUUUAGAACUGUGUUUAUUUGAGAUGUCUAUAUUCAGUCUUCAAUGAUUGUCAUGGCAAUUGAGGACAAUAGAAUAUAGCUCUGUGUAGAAACUGACUUUUUUAUAUCAAGAAAGAUCCAACAAAAGUUUUCAAUGAUAUCUAAAGAGACGAAAGACAGAAAUACUAAAAGGUUUUCUAUGAGAUUGGUGGAUUAUGUACAGUCAGACAACUGGCACACUCAUGCUAAAAGUUAAAUAGCUAUUAAAAUAAAAUUAUAUGCUUGUAUAAUAACAUUAAUGAAGACAGAUGUUCUAUAGUGAAGACAUAUUCCUACAUAUUGUUCUAUAGUGAAGACAUGUUCCUACAUAAUGUCUUAUAGUGAAGACGUAUUCCUACAUAAUGUUCUAUAGUGAAGACAUGUUCCUACUUAAUGUCUUAUAGUGAAGACACGUUCCUACAUAAUGUUCUAUAGAGAAGACAUGUUCCUACAUAAUGUUCUAUAGAGAAGACAUGUUCCUACAUAAUGUUCUAUAGUGAAGACAUGUUCCUACAUAAUGUUCUAUAGUGAAGACAUGUUCCUACAUAAUGUUCUAUAGUGAAGACAUGUUCCUACAUAAUGUUCUAUAGAGAAGACAUGUUCCUACAUAAUGUUCUAUAGAGAAGACAGAUGUUCUAUAGCACAAACAGAUGUUCCUAAGUUGCAAUGAAGUGUUCAGAAGACAGACAGCGUUUCCUUUUGCAAUGAAAUUAUCCAGAACACAUAGUUGAUUAGAUUUCCAGUUCAUUACAUAUUCUGACGUUUUCUCAAGAAAAACACAAGAUUUCAAUGUUCAACCUGAGAGGAGAAAUUCUUAAAAUUUAUGCUGGACAUCUCAUAUCAAGGAUCCAUCACAAUAUUGAUAUUAGACUUGUGAAGAAUAUUCUGAUAAAUUAAUGAUGUACGACAAAUCGUGCUACAAGUAUCAUACCAGCAGAAUUAUUUGAUGAGAGUAAAACAUAGGAGCAGGAUCUCACCUCAUACAAGUGAGGAGGAACAGUUGAACUGAUGAACUUUGAACUGAUGAACUUGGAAACAUCUGAAAGGUAUACAUAAGAAAAACAGACCACCUAGAAUAAGAAAAGAGAAAGAUUAACUCAUAGAGUAAAGUGUAAAAACAGACCACAUACAAUAAGGAAAGAGAAAGAUUAACUCAUAGAGUAAAGGGUAGACGAAACUAUCAACACUUUGAAAUUAACAAGAGCAAUAAUCAACAUAACAGCUGCUUCAUCACCAUCUCAGAGGUUAGGUCUCUAACUGACUCAACUGAUGAACUUAUAACAAGCUUAACAGAUUAUCAGCAUAGUUGAACAAUGAACACUUCAGAGACAAAAUAUUCUUGGCAAUGAAAAUAUAUGACUGAAAUUUAAUAAUUGUAUAUGGUCAGUGGGAGAGAGAGAAAGAUGUAGAAUGGUCAGAGUGGGAGAGGGAGAACACUUAUGAUUAUGAGUGGGGAAAAAAAUAGAACAAUUAUUGCAACCGGUAAAUUUGUCUUCAACCAAACUCAUGGCUUGUGUUGAUGUGUCUAACCUUAGACAUCUGAUAUUUUUAUUAUCUAGAGCUCUGUUUAAAAAAAAUGUAAAAAAUAAUAUGAAAACAAAAUUUAAACAGUUCUAGAUAAUAAACAUUAAGGGUGGUGUAAAAAGUGGGCAUAUUUUAAAUUUUCUUUUUUUCACCAAUGUAUUUAUGAAAUUUAAAACUUUAAAGUCAGAAUGUUUAAUUGGACGUACAAUUGUUUUGAUUUUAGAUAUUUGGAGACAAAACCUAUUCUUCUCCAUUUAUUACACUCUAAAAGUGUCAUUAAUUUGCAAUAUUCUUAAUUUAAUUGUCUUUGCUUAUACCUCUAACCUCAGACAUCCAAUAUUUUUAUUAUCUAGAGCUCUGUAAAAAAAAAAAAAUUGUAAAUAGAGUUCUAGAUAAUAAACAUUAAGGGUGGUGUAAAAAGUGGGUAUAUUUUGAAAUCUUAAAUGGCCUUAAAGUUUGAAUGUUUAAAUGGAAGUAGAAUUCUUUCAAUUUUAGAUGUUUUGAGAUAAAACCUAUCAUCUCGGUAUAUAUUUAUACUGUGUAUAACAGUGUCUUAAAUUCUGCAAUAUUGUGAUUUUGAAUGUCUUUGUUAACUCUUAACUUUUAACAUUUGAAUUCCAUUCAGUAUUAAAAUAAUAUGUGAUGCAAA